GCCUCUGCCUCUGCCUCUGCCUCUGCCUCUGCCUCUGCCUCUGCCUCUGCCUGAUGGGAUUAAAGGCAUCCGUCACCACUACUCGGCUACACCAUCUCUUCUUAAUCUCUGCCUUGGCUGUCCCACAUCCUGACUGUCUUAGUGAUCACCACAGUGUUUGGAAUCAUGGGCUUAUUUCCUCUGAGGGAGCAUCCCUGCUCCUAAUGAGAUCAAUCUAACAGCUCCUCUGCAAAUCACAAGGUCUGGCACUAGUGCCCUGUGGGUUUCAAGCUAUGAAUGACAGCUGCAGCUGCCUCCUGAGAUGGAACUCAGGUCUGGUGCAGGCAGAAAUAGUGUGAUAAAGGAAUAGAGUUCCAGAGGGGUGCGAUCAUGAUAAAUCUGAACUUUCCACUCCUCUUCAUUUGAAUAGGCUCAAACUAUCCAUGAUUGUUUUGAUGUUCAGUGGCCUAGAGCAUCAGUUUGUUUUUGUGCCUCUCAGUUAAUGCUGAGCGGAUUAAUUAUAGAGGAAUAAAAGCCAUGGUGACUUAAACAUGUUAAUCGUUGAAUGUUUGUCAGCUGUGAUGUCUGAAGAUUUGCCCAAUAUAAAAGGACUCCCUAAAAUUGCAUAAUAUUGUUAUUUAAUCAUCUAGGAUUGAGUUAGAAGUUAAUUAGUACAUAUAUAUGCCAGGGAUGCUAAGAGCCUAUCAUUGGGUUGAUGUAAAAGUAAGGGACUGAGCAGGGUAGAGAACUAUUUACACACAUGGCUACAUCAGUUCAUUUUCUUGAGCUAAUUUGAAAGCUGAUGUUUGGUGAUGUCAUUGUCGGAGCUUCACCUCAUUGGGUGGAUUACAGAGUUGGCACUGAGGCCAUGUCCUCUCAGGUAAUUGUUGGGAAAAAGUAACAAUUAGGUCAUUUGUACAAGUGUCCCCGUAACCCAUGGAGAUAACUCGAUAAGUAAAUUGGAAUGUCAUCAGCCAAUACAUUAGUCAUGUAUGGUUUGUUACUAAUUCCAUGUCCUCCUAAGUUGGAAUGACUGGCGUUUCCAGCAAUGUGUGCUUCUCCUGAGGAGGGCGCUGGGCAAGGGGACAGUCACACACAUUGCUUUUUUAACUGCCACACCUAAGUUUCAACACAGCUUCUCUCUGGUCCCCAGGCAAGAAAAUGAAUGACAGGCUAGUCACAGCUUAGCCAUGAUGUUUGAGCCUGAGCCAUCUGUCUGCAUGGCACAGAUUCAUCUAUCUGUGCUUUAAGUGAGAUAUUCAACCGAGCUAGUACUCAGUUUUGCCUGGCUUCUGAUGGGAGUAUUUUAGGAAAGCCGCUUUGAAAGAACAUCUGUUACGGCCUUAACCUGACCAGUUGCCUGGCAUCUCGUGUGGAAGGCUUGGUGUUCAGUACAACAGAGGUCAGAGGUGAGGCCUUUGGGACUUACUGGAUUAGGAGGACUGCCAGUGGAUUAGCCCACUAAUAGAGUCCUAAUUUUCAUGCUAUUGGGUGGUGUAAUCCUUAGCAGAUGUGACCUAGCUGGAGAGAAAGACGGGUCACUGGUAGCCUGAGAGGUGCAUUUUGUCUCUGGCCCUUCCUUCUCUCUUUGCUCCUUGGAUCCCGUGAGGCGAGUGGCUUUGCUCUCCACCCUGUGCUUCGGACAUGGCGCUCUGCCUCAUCACGGGGCCCAGACACAGCAGAGCCAAGAGGCCAUGGACUGACACCUCUGAAACCAUGAGCCCAGGUAAACCUUCCUCUCUGAGGUUGAAUUUGCUCAGGGAAGUUGACUAACAGAGCAUCCAAGUCAAUUCCUUUGAGUGUCUAAAUCUUCUUUUGUUUUCCUUGCUGUUCCACUAAUACCACACUAUUAAACCCAGUGCAGUUUUUGCUGACGUUCGCUUUGUUUUUAUUGUGGGGGCCAAAAGGACACGUUUUCAUAUCUGGCCUUAAAGGUCCAUUCUCCUUUAAUUCUCAGGCUUUUACUCUUAUUUGAUGUCUCAUGUUGUUUUCAAACAAAUUGGAGAUGAUUUUAUUAAAAUACCUGUUUUAUAAUUUUACUGAAAUCUUACUGUAUAUGGUAAUUGACUUGAGAAAUUGGCCUUCUUAAACAUUCAAGGGUCUUCCAAAUAAAACCAACUGAUUGAGCACUUAAACAUGUUCUAUGGUGAUCCUCAAACAACAAUGGUAAGUCAAAAUCCAUCACAGUUUAGCACCGAGAAAGGAGAUCAGAGGACAAAAAUCACAGCACAUUCCUAGAGGACAGACAGAAGGGCAGUGCAGCCUGCCUUGUGUCAGAAAUGGACUCCAAGGUCCCAAGAAAUGGACAGAGGAUGGCUAAGAGCUGAGGGGCUUAAAACAGGGGUGCUUGUUGCCCUGCUAAUUAAGGUUGAAGUCUACCAUUGUCCAGAUAGCCUUCUAAGCUUGGUGCAAAAAUAGCAGACUCCCUUUGUCAGUGAGGCUUUCUAUUCUCAACCUCGGGGACCCCAGACCCCACACCCUAUACCUUCAGAAUGUCACCAAACCUUUGUUAAGAGAUUACAGGUUCAGUUUCUUUUCUCCUGAUAAGAACCCAUUCAGCUAGCACCUGAGAUUCUGGGAACGCCUUCCCAUGAUAAUGAGGUAUCUCAGGACCUUAGCUUUCAGCCAAUGACCUUUGCCCACCCUGGAUGUCCCCACCCCCAUCCUCAAAACUACAUAACCCUCCUCAAAGCUGGUCCUGGGAUGUCAUUAUUGUCCAUACUCAAGGGCCAUGUGGAACCCUGUUUGUGAACUAUGCUCCCUCUGUCCCCAAGGGCUGGCAGCCAGUGACUCUGAGGAGAACGGAGACCUACAGAGCUGAAAUUCUCCAUGGGAGGCAAAUAACUUCUGGGCCCUUUCCAGCCCUCCACAAGAAGAAAGGCCCAAAGCCAGGCAUUCCUGCCCAGGAGCCAGCGUAGAACCCUUUCCUUUACCAUAACCCGUUUUGAGAAAGUGCUAUGGCUCAGAGUUUUGUUUUACCCUGUGUGGGAAAUCUCUCUGUCUAGACUCUGAGUUGUUGAUGGAGCACCUCAUUAUCUCCAACUCCUACUCUUUCCUGUCAUGAGGAGAGACUCUGAGGCAGUUUUCCUGAAAAUUUGUCACUGUGUCUAGGUAGUGUCUGGAGGACACCACGGUGAUAUAGUCUACCAUUUCCGUCAGAGAAAGAAGAUAAAUUCCCGAAUUUAAGUGCCAAUUUUGCCGUUUUCUUUUUCUUUUUCUUUUUUUUUAGAAUAGGGAGAGGAGGCUGUCAGACACCUGGGCUUGUCUCUUCUUACCUUGCAUUUGAGACUGUCAUUUUUUUAAGAAAAUUGCAUAUAUUCAAACCAUGUGAGAAUUUCCGUAUAAGGGGGAAAGGGGAAGAUCAGCUCAGAGCCCUUUGGAGACAUCUACCAGCUGGCCAACUGGUCCCCGCACACAAUGGUGUCCAUAGUCCACUCCCUAAAAGUCCUAUGGGCCCGUGCCACAAGCCCAGAACACAAAGCAGGAGCCCAGGUGGAUGAGGACGGAAGGGCGCUAGAGCACAUCCUGGAGCAUGCUGGAUGGAGCCCUGAGGAGGGACAGAUGGCAGACAUAGACAUGCUCUCCCUGGGGAGAAAGCAGGAAGCCGCAAAGCAGCUGUGGCAAGGCUUCGGAGGUUUCACAGCAGCUCUGAUGCGGGGGACCAGUUUCUCAGGGCAGGCCUGCGCAGCAGGGCGUCAGUCUUCAGCCACGCCCUUAGGAUGGUCAAUCAUUGGCAGGAGCAGUGCAAUAGGAACGAGCGUGGGCGACCCCGUGUCACUGUUUCAGUUUGUCCUGUUCAGUUGGUUGAGUGAGCGACAGAGAGCAAACAAUAAAGUGGAAGGCAGAGUCACCCUCAAGAAGACGAUUAUGUUCUUUUUCUAUCCCAAAAACCUGAUUGUGACAUGUCAUUGUGAAAUAAACGUUUUGUUCUU